ensembl:lncRNA
GUAAAAAAAUAAAUAUCAAAAUCACCUGAAAUCAACAUAUUUGGUUUUAUGUUUUUCUCACAUGCCCCUAUCACUCCCAUUGAUCGUGAGCUUGUGGUGGCUAUGGUUACAUUUCAUUUGCUCUGUUGAACCGACCCUUUGGAAUGACUUCGAUAGCAACAGUGAACCUAUUGAGUGGAGAUUUCUCAACGAUCAUUCUCAUAAUAGCACAUUUGGUAAUAGUCAGUGACUAAUAUCCAAGCUGAGCUUGGUUAAAACCCUGGAUGGGAGAUCGAAGGGACAGCUGUAGACGGCCCCAUCUCUCCAGUAGGAGGUGCUGUAGACGGCCCCAGCUCUCCAGUAGGAGGUGCUGUAGACGGCCCCAUCUCUCCAGUAGGAGGUGCUGUAGACGGCCCCAUCUCUCCAGUAGGAGGUGCUGUAGACGGCCCCAGCUCUCCAGUAGGAG